GUCAUCUUCUAGCUUCCAUAUGAUUCCUCUCCACUAGUCAUUCCUCUGAAAAAUCUCCAGCCGCCGCCCUCCAUCUGAUAUUUCUCAUCCGUCGUAUAUCUCCUGGCGCGCGCGUUCCUUGUCUUGUCCCAGCGCCCGGCAGCUGCGCCCUGCUCCAGCUCAUGGCGCGUCCCUGCCCCUCCCAUGGCAGCUCCCCAGCUCGAUUUCCCUCCCUAGCCAUGGCCGCGCCCAAAUCCUCUCCCUCCCUGUUCGGAUUCCGCCAGACCUGCGUAGCUCCCUGGUGUGUCUUCCUCCCUGCGCGCUCAGCCAGCGUCCCUGCGCGCUCCGCGGUGCUCAGCUCUCCAGCUCCGGUGCCCAGCUCGCCAGGGCCGCGUGUGCUCCAGUGUCGCGCUCUGCUCGCGGCGUUCAUCUCCCUGCUCAGCUCGCCGCGCCGAACUGUCCAGCACCUCUCUGCUCCUUUCGUUCCUAGCGCGUCGAGUUGAGCUUGCCGAUGAUGCUUUGGCUGGUCAGCCUCUGCUCUAGCUCGCAGUUGCUGCGUUGCCGAGUCCCUGGCCGCCGUGCCCUGUGCGCUGUCCUCCGCUCGCCGGGCUGUACGUUGCUAGGAUCGGAAGCACCGUCCUUCGUUUGGACAGCAACGGCGUGCACAAAAGCUUUGUUGCUGCUGUUGGAGGCUUCUCGACGAAAUAUCUAACAAAGGGUUGAAGCUCCAGUGCAUCGCCGUCGUUUCGCUAUGUCCGGCGUCGUGCUUUUUUUUUGCCGGUCAUUGGUUUCCUAUUCAACACAACACCGUCGUCCCCGCGUCGCACCCGGAAUUUCGCCGCGCGUCCUGUUUCCUGCUCGCCAGCGUGCCCUCUCGGCUCGCUCGGCUUUAAUUCCCAAUCGCGUCGUUGAUUCCGCCGGUUAGCGUCGUUCGACGUCGCGUCGCGGGUGCAGCUCUAUAUACGUCACCCCCUGUGUCGUCAUCGUUCCACGCGUCAGCAAGAAAUUCCAAGAGUCGGGUGAAGACGAAGCUAACAACACGAUAUUCCCCAAGCGCUCGACAAAAUUGACUGAAUCGGAAAAUCGCUACCGAUCUCGGAGAUUCGUGUUAGCUGUGGAAACGGUACGUUGAUUAACCACGAGAUGCGGAGAGUUGAGUCAAGUCGACCCCAAGCGUGGACUACUCCGCAUGGUGAAGCUGAUGGACCAACCUGAAGAUGGUUAAAUCAAGCGAAUGUUCGGUUGAGGGAUACUCGUCAAGCGGAUGUCAUCUAACAAACACUAACAUAGUGUUU